UCCUUAAAGGGAGACCUAAUUCAGGUAUGGGAUGAAAAAAAAGUAGUCCCAACCAAGAAUCAAUCCCAAAAGGUCGGAGCGAGGCAAAAUUGGCUUUCAAACUAGGUUCUGGGUUCACACAAGACCUGAAUCAGGAACAAGGGCUAUUAGCUCAGGUGGUUAGAGCGCACCCCUGAUAAGGGUGAGGUCCCUGGUUCGAGUCCAGGAUGGCCCACCUGCACAGGUGGCCAAAACAAAGAAAAAAAGCUCCGAAUCAGCACCUUAUCUUACUUAUAUAGUAAGAGAGAAUGCUGGCUCUGAGUACAGAGUCCCGAGGAACCUUGAAAACUGCAUAGAGCUAGGUGAAAAAGCCAAAAAAGAAGACCGCCAGGUC
rnacentral:tRNA from 1 species